ensembl:lncRNA
AAGGUGCUUCUUCGGCUGACAUAAGAAAUGAUGAAUUUGGGUUUUUGUUGUUUUGAUCCAGAAGAGAACCGCAGAGGGGCUGGGAUAAGCUCUGUGCUGGACGGGACUCGCCAGAAGUCGCUCUCAGGAAUCCCUAUAUUGACCUAUUCCACAUUUUCAAGUGCUCAGAGGGUGUGGAACCAACCGCUGGCAGACCGUAGGAACCGGGCAGCUAUCUGUGAAUCCAGAGAGAGAAAUGGGGGUCACAAAUCAAGCCUUCAAAGAGCAAAGCCGAUUUCAACGACUGAAGAAAAAAUUCUGGUAACCUGGGAUGUUUUCUUAAAGAACUCCUGACAGAUAGCGAAGUCAUCCAUUGUAAUUACGACUCCAUGCUGGAUGUUAUAAGUUACCGGUAGCAUUGACUAAUUCCACUUACCUACGAACCAAGUUUUAAGUGCAUGUGCCACUCUCCAAGCCAGUGGGUAGCAAAGGACAGCCUGCAGGCCGAAUGCUGGCAGUUUUAUAAAUAAAGUUUUAUUAGGACUCCCUUCAUUAGUUUAUAUAUUCCAAGACUGCUUUUAUGCUACAGUGACAGAGUUGAGUAGUUGAGACAGAGACUGGCCCAGAAAGCCUAAAAUAGAGAAAAAGCUAACCUACUCCUGAUCCAGGUUAAUUAGUCAUUCUCAGCUAAACUGGUUUAUUUCCACAAAGAGGUGAAUUCCAACAAUAUCUUUCUUUUUUGAAAUGCAAACAUGGAAAAAAAUGUAAAAUAAUCAGGUUACUAAGCAAAUGCUCAAUAAUUUCUGAACUAUUUUAAUGUUGUCGGUCAAUGCCUCACGGCUGACAUUGUUCACCCUGGACAAGGGCGGUUCUAGGCAGCCGUGGAGACUACAUAAGCAUCUCCCAAGAACACCAACGAUGAGACCUUCUAACCACAGCGCCCCAGAGGGUGCACGCUAUCACUCUGUCUCGAUAUUAAAGUAAGAUAAGAGGCAGAGAAUACCCUAAAAAGUACUUGUUCUAUUCAGAGUAAGACAUAAUAGAUGUGGUGUUAGACCCACGGUUUGGGAAAAUUACAAGCCCUAAGGAAUAGCUGCUAAUUAAUAGACUGUAAUGUUAUUAAGGAAAGCUAAAGUGUACACUUUUAAAGAAAACAAAACAGAAACGUUAUUUGGAACUACUCAUGUUAUAUUUGGGUUAUAGCUAUAAAAUAUUAAGAAAAGGAAAUACAACAUAAUUCCUUCCUAAAUGUGGCACCAGAAGGUAGAAUUAACACAUAAUAUUUUUAUACUUGAUGAUACAUUUCAAGUAUUUACUUGUUGGAUAUACUUACAAUGUUUGAGGUACAUGAUCUGACCCAUGCUAACCCAAGUGCAUGAAAUAACUAUUUAAAUGCUGUGUGAGUUCUAACAUAGUUGUGUGUUGGACACACAUAUUGAAUAGGCCCAUUGAGUGGGAUUUCACCGAAACUCAACUUUAUUUUUGUCUCCCCAAUGCCCUUUGAAACUGUUCAGUGAAUGAAGCUUUGCCCCUGCACUAGAUAAAAACUCAGCAGGUCUCCUUUCUCUUCAUUCUAAGGUGAUAGACACUGCCAUAGUCACUUUAACAAAAUCCAAUCAGAUUUCGAAUUAAUUAGAGUCCAGGUCGGGACAUUAACCAAUACUUCAGUCUCCGCUCAAACUUCCACAUGUACCUUAUGUCCACAGAGUCCCUACUAAGGACAGGUACUGUGGAUUCUACCUAAAAAAUGAAAAGCUACAAUCAUCGAAACAGCAUGGUGCUAGUGAAAGAACAGGAGCAUACAGAUCAGAACAGAACAGCAAGUCCAGAAAUAGGCCCAAGCAAAGGCAGUCAGCUGAUCUUUGAAAUACAAGCAGCAGGUCAAUGGAAAAAUACAGUCUUUUCAACAAAUGGCACUGGAACAAUUAGAUGUACGUAAACACACACACUCACACGUGCACACACACAUGCAUACACACCCACUCACGCCUACAUGUGUGCACACACACCCACUUGCAUGUGCACACACACACAGACCUAGACACAGACUUUAUAUCUCUUACAAAAAUUGACUCAAGGAUAGACCUAAAUGUGAACUGCAAAACAUAGGAUUUCCGGAAGAAAACGUAGUAGAAAAUCUAGAUGACCCUGAGUUUGGCAUGAAUUUUUAAAUACCACGUCCAAAGCAAAAUCCAUGAAGGAAGAACUUGAUGGUAAGUUGGAAUUUACUAAACCUAAAAACUUUUGCUCUGCAAAAGAUGCUCUUAAGAGAAUGAAAAGAGAAGUCACAGAUUGUGGGGAAAAAAUCUUUGCAAAACACUAUCGAAUAAAGAACUUGUGUUCAAAAUAAAACAAAAAAAUUCUUAAAACUCAACAAUAAGAAAAAAAAAAACAAUCCAAGUAAAAAAAUGGGCAAAAUAUCUGAGCAGACACCUCACCAAAGAAGGCAUAUGGAUAGCAAAUAAGCAUAUGAGAAGAUGUUCAACACUCUUUGUCAUUAGGAAAUUGCAAAUUAAAAUGUUGAGAUAUAACCGUACAUCUAUUAAAAUGGCUAAAAUCCAAAAACACUGACAAUACCAAUUGCUGGCAAGGAUGCAGAACAAUAACACAUUCAUUCAUUGUUGGUGAGAAGGCAAAAGCGUACAGCCACAUGGGAAGAAAGUUUGGCAGUUUCUUAGAAAGUUAAAUAUAGAUUUUUUUUCAUAUACUCUUAGGUAUUUACCCAACUGAUUUAAGAAAUUUAUGUCUACACAAAGAUCUGCACA